GCAAAGCACAGGGUUCGUCAACAUUUCUAUCCCAGCAGCUCAGAGGCCUGAGCCCUUCUCUUGCCCAACGUGGCCUGUCAAGAUGAGCUUUCCUGGAAUGGAAGCUAGGUUGGGCUGGCCAGGUCUCCGCCCCUCCCCGUGCUCGGUGGCAGAGCAACACCAGCUCAUUGGUCAUGAUCUCAGAGUCCUGGGAGUCAGCCUUGCACCCAGGUCCCCGCUCAGCGUGGAGUAUGCUUAUCCCUCUCCCUCUGCCCUCCCACUCACGUGUGCCCGUGUGCCCGCGCACUCUCUCAAAUAAAAUCUUAAAAAAAAAAAAAAGAAAAAGAAAA